GGGGGAUAAAUAGCGGGCAGUUUGAACCGUGGGCCAGGCUUUUUGGCCGGAGUCCCCGGGGAGGAUUCUCGGGGGGUGUGAGUAGGAAUGUUGGCACAUUGGGGCAGAGAUGGAAGGUGGGUGCAGGGGGGUCUAGGCGGGAUAGAGGGGAUAGGCGGUGAUAUAAUGUUUUUCCGUUAUUACGGUGUCGAGAUGAAGAACAUGAGGAUAUAGGUACCGGCAGAAUCAGCGCUCACCAGCAAGGGUACAGAGGCCAGGUGUAAUUUAAUUUCGUGUAAUAAAGGGAGAGCAUUCGUAUGAGCAAAUGCAAAAUGAAAGCGAAAAACUUAAGAUUUACAUGGCAAUAGUUUCUACUCGGGUAGAGUAGAUCUGAGUAGAGUAGAAUUGCUAGUGUUGCAGUGCAAUGAGAAGAGAAGAGGAAGAAUUCCGAUGGCGAAGGCAGCCACCUGGGAUAAAAAUGACGGUCAUGCACGCAAGCGUGGGGAGCAAACAAGAUUAGAUAGCCUGGUAGUCCACGCCCUAAACGAUGUCAACUAGUUGUUGGGGAUUCAUUUCCUUAGUAAUGUAGCUAACGCGUGAAGUUGACCGCCUGGGGAGUACGGUCGCAAGAUUAAAACUCAAAGGAAUUGACGGGGACCCGCACAAGCGGUGGAUGAUGUGGAUUAAUUCGAUGCAACGCGAAAAACCUUACCUACCCUUGACAUGCCACUAACGAAGCAGAGAUGCAUUAGGUGCUCGAAAGAGAAAGUGGACACAGGUGCUGCAUGGCUGUUGUCAGCUCGUGUCGUGAGAUGUUGGGUUAAGUCCCGCAACGAGCGCAACCCUUGUCUCUAGUUGCUACGAAAGGGCACUCUAGAGAGACUGCCGGUGACAAACCGGAGGAAGGUGGGGAUGACGUCAAGUCCUCAUGGCCCUUAUGGGUAGGGCUUCACACGUCAUACAAUGGCGCAUACAGGGGGUUGCCAAGCCGCGAGGUGGAGCUAAUCCCAGAAAAUGCAUCGUAGUCCGGAUCGUAGUCUGCAACUCGACUACGUGAAGCUGGAAUCGCUAGUAAUCGCGGAUCAGCAUGCCGCGACGAGGCACCCCCACCCCCCCC
rnacentral:rRNA from 1 species